AGAGGAUGAUCAGCCACACUGGGACUGAGACACGGCCCAGACUCCGUACGGGAGGCAGCAGUGGGGAAUAUUGGACAAGUGGGCGCAAGCCUGACUCCAGCCACGCCGCGUGAGUGAUGAAGGCCUUCGGGUCGUAAAGCUCUGUGGGGAGGGACGAACGGCGCCAUGAAGAGUGGCGAUUGACGGUACCUCCUUAGCAAGCACCGGCUAACUUCGUGCCAGCAGCCGCGGUAAUACGAAGGGUGCAAACGUUGCUCGGAAUCAUUGGGCGUAAAGCGCACGUAGGCGGCUUUCUAAGUCGGAUGUGAAAUCCCUCGGCUUAACCGAGGACGUGCAUCCGAAACUGGGAGGCUUGAGUAUGGAAGAGGGUCGCAGAAUUCCCGGUGUAGAGGUGAAAUUCGUAGAUAUCGGGAGGAAUACCAGUGGC
rnacentral:rRNA from 1 species